rnacentral:rRNA from 1 species
UGGGGAAUUUUCCGCAAUGGGCGAAAGCCUGACGGAGCAACGCCGCGUGAGGGAUGAAGGCCUCUGGGCUGUAAACCUCUUUUAUCAAGGAAGAAGAUCUGACGGUACUUGAUGAAUAAGCCACGGCUAAUUCCGUGCCAGCAGCCGCGGUAAUACGGGAGUGGCAAGCGUUAUCCGGAAUUAUUGGGCGUAAAGCGUCCGCAGGCGGCCCUUCAAGUCUGCUGUUAAAAAGUGGAGCUUAACUCCAUCAUGGCAGUGGAAACUGUUGGGCUUGAGUGUGGUAGGGGCAGAGGGAAUUCCCGGUGUAGCGGUGAAAUGCGUAGAUAUCGGGAAGAACACCAGUGGCGAAGGCGCUCUGCUGGGCCAUCACUGACGCUCAUGGACGAAAGCCAGGGGAGCGAAAGGGAUUAGAUACCCCUGUAGUCCUGGCCGUAAACGAUGAACACUAGGUGUCGGGGGAAUCGACCCCCUCGGUGUCGUAGCCAACG